UACGGAGGGUGCAAGCGUUAUCCGGAUUCACUGGGUUUAAAGGGUGCGUAGGUGGGCUGGUAAGUCAGUGGUGAAAUCUCCGGGCUUAACUCGGAAACUGCCGUUGAUACUAUCUAUCUUGAAUAUCGUGGAGGUAAGCGGAAUAUGUCAUGUAGCGGUGAAAUGCUUAGAUAUGACAUAGAACACCCAUUGCGAAGGCAGCUUACUACACGAUCAUUGACACUGAGGCACGAAAGCGUGGGGAGCAAACAGG
rnacentral:rRNA from 1 species